rnacentral:rRNA from 1 species
AUUGAACGCUGGCGGCAGGCCUAACACAUGCAAGUCGAGCGGAUGAAGGGAGCUUGCUCCUGGAUUCAGCGGCGGACGGGUGAGUAAUGCCUAGGAAUCUGCCUGGUAGUGGGGGAUAACGUCCGGAAACGGGCGCUAAUACCGCAUACGUCCUGAGGGAGAAAGUGGGGGAUCUUCGGACCUCACGCUAUCAGAUGAGCCUAGGUCGGAUUAGCUAGUUGGUGGGGUAAAGGCCUACCAAGGCGACGAUCCGUAACUGGUCUGAGAGGAUGGUCAGUCACACUGGAACUGAGACACGGUCAAGACUCCUACGGGAGGCAGCAGUGGGGAAUAUUGGACAAUGGGCGAAAGCCUGAUCCAGCCAUGCCGCGUGUGUGAAGAAGGUCUUCGGAUUGUAAAGCACUUUAAGUUGGGAGGAAGGGCAGUAAGUUAAUACCUUGCUGUUUUGACGUUACCAACAGAAUAAGCACCGGCUAACUUCGUG